rnacentral:rRNA from 1 species
UACGGGGGGGGCAAGCGUUGUUCGGAAUUACUGGGCGUAAAGGGUUCGUAGGUGGCCCGCUAAGUCAGACGUGAAAUCCCUCAGCUCAACUGGGGAACUGCGUCUGAGACUGGCGGGCUUGAGUGCAGGAGAGGAACGCGGAAUUCCAGGUGUAGCGGUGAAAUGCGUAGAUAUCUGGAGGAACACCGGUGGCGAAGGCGGCAUUCUGGACCGAAACUGACGCUGAGGCGCGAAAGCCAGGGGAGCAAACGGG